AUUUGCCUGCGGCACGAGAGCACGGUUUCCCGUGAUUCCAGAGCUCUGCGCUGAGAAAAAGGGAACCUCCGCCGUGCAUGCUGAAGUCUCGGUCUUCAGACGUGACUUGGCUGAGAUGCUUGACUGCCCUACGUCUGGAAGGAGGCCGACAGCCUGUUGUCAGAAGCAGGACCUGAGGUGAUUUCAGCAAGGCAGGACCGGUGUCUCCUGGAAUUGGGUGCGGUCUCUACAGGAGACUAGUGCUCACCGCUCCUAGCUUGUAUACAUACGGACAGCCUUCUACUCGCACCAGUUCUGUUAUCAACUUGUAAAGAGCCGACUUCAGAAUUAGACUUUUCCAAAUCCUAUAUUUGGAUUUGGCCACGAAGCCAAAACUUCACAGCAUUGCCGGACAUUAAAUCUCCUAUGCAAGCCUUU